GAUGAACGCUGGCGGCGUGCCUAAUACAUGCAAGUCGAGCGAACGGACGAGAAGCUUGCUUCUCUGAUGUUAGCGGCGGACGGGUGAGUAACACGUGGAUAACCUACCUAUAAGACUGGGAUAACUUCGGGAAACCGGAGCUAAUACCGGAUAAUAUUUUGAACCGCAUGGUUCAAAAGUGAAAGACGGUCUUGCUGUCACUUAUAGAUGGAUCCGCGCUGCAUUAGCUAGUUGGUAAGGUAACGGCUUACCAAGGCAACGAUGCAUAGCCGACCUGGGAGGGUGAUCGGCCACACUGGAACUGAGACACGGUCCAGACUCCUACGGGAGGCAGCAGUAGGGAAUCUUCCGCAAUGGGCGAAAGCCUGACGGAGCAACGCCGCGUGAGUGAUGAAGGUCUUCGGAUCGUAAAACUCUGUUAUUAGGGAAGAACAUAUGUGUAAGCAACUGUGCACAUCUUGACGGUACCUAAUCAGAAAGCCACGGCUAACUACGUG
rnacentral:rRNA from 1 species